UACAGAGGGUGCGAGCGUUAAUCGGAAUUACUGGGCGUAAAGCGCGCGCAGGCGGCCUUUUAAGUCUGAUGUGAAAGCCCACGGCUCAACCGUGGAAGGUCAUUGGAAACUGAAAGGCUUGAGUACAGAAGAGGAAAGCGGAAUUCCACGUGUAGCGGUGAAAUGCGUAGAGAUGUGGAGGAACACCAGUGGCGAAGGCGGCUUUCUGGUCUGUAACUGACGCUGAGGCGCGAAAGCGUGGGGAGCAAACAGG
rnacentral:rRNA from 1 species